UACAGAGGUCUCAAGCGUUGUUCGGAUUCAUUGGGCGUAAAGGGCGCGUAGGCGGCGGGGUAAGUCUGGUGUGAAAUCUCGGAGCUCAACUCCGAAAUUGCACUGGAUACUGCUCUGCUUGAGGGGUUGGAGAGGGAGAUCGGAAUUCACGGUGUAGCAGUGAAAUGCGUAGAUAUCGUGAGGAAGACCAGUGGCGAAGGCGGAUCUCUGGACAAAUCCUGACGCUGAGGCGCGAAGGCUAGGGGAGCAAACGGG
rnacentral:rRNA from 1 species